CCUACGGUGUGCAGCAGUCGGGAAUAUUGCGCAAUGGAGGAAACUCUGACGCAGUGACGCCGCGUGCAGGAAGAAGGUUUUCGGAUUGUAAACUGCUUUAGACAGGGAAGAAAAAAGACAGUACCUGUAGAAUAAGCUCCGGCUAACUACGUGCCAGCAGCCGCGGUAAGACGGAGGGAGCAAGCGGUAUCCGGAUUUAUUGGGUGGAAAGGGUGCGUAGACGGAGAAGCAAGUUAGUUGUGAGAUCCCUCGGCUUAACUGAGGAACUGCAACUAAAACUACUUCCGUUGAGUACGGGAGAGGAAGGUGGAAGUCCUGGGGUAGCGGUGAAAGGCGGAGAUAUUAGGAGGAACACCAGUGGCGAAGGCGACUUGCUGGACAGUAACUGACGGUGAGGCACGAAAGUGUGGGGAGCAAGCAGGAUUAGAUACCCCGGUAGUC
rnacentral:rRNA from 1 species